CACGUAGGGGGCAAGCGUUGUCCGGAAUUACUGGGCGUAAAGAGCUCGUAGGUGGUUUGUCGCGUUGUUCGUGAAAUCCCACGGCUUAACUGUGGGCGUGCGGGCGAUACGGGCAGACUGGAGUACUGCAGGGGAGACUGGAAUUCCUGGUGUAGCGGUGGAAUGCGCAGAUAUCAGGAGGAACACCGGUGGCGAAGGCGGGUCUCUGGGCAGUAACUGACGCUGAGGAGCGAAAGCGUGGGGAGCGAACAGG
rnacentral:rRNA from 1 species